UCCGAGUUGACCCCGGCAGUCUCCCAUGAGUCCCCGCCAUUACGCGCUGGCAACAUGGAACGAGGGUUGCGCUCGUUGCGGGACUUAACCCAACAUCUCACGACACGAGCUGACGACAGCCAUGCAGCACCUCUAUGGCGGCCCCCGAAGGGGAAGCCCUGUUUCCAGAGCGGUCCACCACAGUUCAAGCCCAGGUAAGGUUUUUCGCGUUGCAUCGAAUUAAUCCACAUAAUCCACCGCUUGUGCGGGUCCCCGUCAAUUCCUUUGAGUUUUAACCUUGCGGCCGUACUCCCCAGGCGGUGUGCUUACCGCGUUAGCUGCGACACCGAAGAGCUAGGCUCCCCAACGUCUAGCACACAUCGUUUACAGCGUGGACUAC
rnacentral:misc_RNA from 1 species